GUUCAUUCCUGAACAUAUACUAAAAUUGGAACAAUACAGAGAAGAUUAGCAUAGCCCCUGCGCAAGGAUGACACGCAAAUUCGUGAAGCGUUCCAUCAUGCC
rnacentral:snRNA from 1 species